AUUGAACGCUGGCGGCAUGCUUUACACAUGCAAGUCGAACGGUAACAGGGAGCUUGCUCCGCUGACGAGUGGCGAACGGGUGAGUAAUGCGUCGGAACGUGCCGAGUAGUGGGGGAUACCGCAUCGAAAGGUGUGCUAAUACCGCAUACGUACUGAGGUAGAAAGUGGGGGACCUUCGGGCCUCACGCUAUUCGAGCGGCCGACGUCUGAUUAGCUAGUUGGUGAGGUAAAGGCUCACCAAGGCGACGAUCAGUAGCGGGUCUGAGAGGAUGAUCCGCCGCACUGGGACUGAGACACGGCCCAGACUCCUACGGGAGGCAGCAGUGGGGAAGUGUGGACAAUGGGCGCAAGCCUGAUCCAGCCAUGCCGCGUGUCUGAAGAAGGCCUUCGGGUUGUAAAGGACUUUUGUCCGGGAGCAAAUGCCUGGUGUUAAUAGCACUGGGAGCUGAGAGUACCGGAAGAAUAAGCACCGGCUAACUACGUGCCAGCAGCCGCAGUAACAC
rnacentral:rRNA from 1 species